rnacentral:rRNA from 1 species
GACGUAGGGCGCGAGCGUUGUCCGGAUUUAUUGGGCGUAAAGAGCUCGUAGGCGGCUUGUCGCGUCGACUGUGAAAACCCGGAGCUCAACUCCGGGCCUGCAGUCGAUACGGGCAAACUGGAGUGUUGCAGGGGAGACUGGAAUUCCUGGUGUAGCGGUGAAAUGCGCAGAUAUCAGGAGGAACACCGGUGGCGAAGGCGGGUCUCUGGGCAACAACUGACGCUGAGGAGCGAAAGCGUGGGGAGCGAACAGG